AACGAACGUUAGCGGCGCGCCUAACACAUGCAAGUCGAGCGAGAAAGGGCUUCGGCCCCGGUAAAGCGGCGCACGGGUGAGUAACACGUAGGCAAUCUGCCUCGAGGUGGUGGAUAACCCUCCGAAAGGAGGGCUAAUACAGCAUAAGACCACGUCGUCGAAAGACGAUGCGGCCAAAGCCGGCCUCUUCAUGAAAGCUGGCGCCACGAGAUGAGCCUGCGGCCCAUCAGCUAGUUGGUAGGGUAACGGCCUACCAAGGCAAAGACGGGUAGCUGGUCUGAGAGGAUGAUCAGCCACACUGGAACUGAGACACGGUCCAGACUCCUACGGGAGGCAGCAGUGGGGAAUCUUGCGCAAUGGGCGAAAGCCUGACGCAGCGACGCCGCGUGAGCGAUGAAGGCCUUCGGGUUGUAAAGCUCUGUGGAGGGGGACGAAUAAGGGCAAGCUAAUACCUUGUUUGAUGACGGUACCCCUUUAGCAAGCACCGGCUAACUCUGUG
rnacentral:rRNA from 1 species